rnacentral:rRNA from 1 species
UACAGAGGUCUCAAGCGUUGUUCGGAUUCAUUGGGCGUAAAGGGCGCGUAGGCGGCGGGGUAAGUCUGGUGUGAAAUCUCGGGCUCACAUCGAAUCGAUCACUGGAUACUGCUCUGCUUGAGGGUUGGAGAGGAGAUCGGAAUUCACGGUGUAGCAGUGAAAUGCGUAGAUAUCGUGAGGAAGACCAGUGGCGAAGGCGGAUCUCUGGACAAAUCCUGACGCUGAGGCGCGAAGGCUAGGGGAGCAAACGGG